ensembl:ncRNA lncRNA:CR44400 long non-coding RNA:CR44400
AUGAAAGGGGUGGAAAGGAUACUGGGCGUCAAAGGGGUUACCAAGUGGCCGGGCUGCGUGCGUUGCAUGUGCAGCAAUUUCCGCCGUAGUCGCGUGCUUCCGCCAUCCAGUCCGGCCGGACUGCGACGGAUUGCCACGGACUGCUCCGUACUACGCCGGAAUGCGACGCUCGGGGCUGCCGGACAGCACUUAAGUAUCUGUUGCCGACAAAGUGACACCCUCCAGAUAAUAUCCGCAACUUGUGGUCUCCGCGUGCGACACACUGCCGUUCAUAACGCGCGCGUGUCUCCCCUGAAUAGUCCUAUUGAUAAUAACCACUUGCAGUGCUGGCUGUAAUGUAGGACGCAAUAAAUGGCGCGGAAUGGGUGACAGAAGUCCACCCAUCGCAAGAGU